rnacentral:rRNA from 1 species
AUUGAACGCUGGCGGCAGGCCUAACACAUGCAAGUCGAGCGGAUGAAGGGAGCUUGCUCCUGGAUUCAGCGGCGGACGGGUGAGUAAUGCCCAGGAAUCUGCCUGGCAUUGGGGGAUAACGUCCGGAAACGGGCGCUAAUACCGCAUACGUCCUGAGGGUGAAAGUGGGGGAUCUUUGGACCUAACGCUAUCAGAUGAGCCUAGGUCGGAUUAGCUAGUUGGUGGGGUAAAGGCCUACCAAGGCGACGAUCCGUAACUGGUCUGAGAGGAUGAUCAGUCACACUGGAACUGAGACACGGUCCAGACUCCUACGGGAGGCAGCAGUGGGGAAUAUUGGACAAUGGGCGAAAGCCUGAUCCAGCCAUGCCGCGUGUGUGAAGAAGGUCUUCGGAUUGUAAAGCACUUUAAGUUGGGAGGAAGGGCAGUAAGUUAAUACCUUGCUGUUUUGACGUUACCAACAGAAUAAGCACCGGCUAACUUCGUG